UUUGUGUUGUGACGCAUUUCAUGAUAGCAUGGUUUAAGUGUUUUAUUAUUCUGCUCACUAGGCUUUAGUAGCUCACCCCUCUCCCUAACCCCAUGUUUUCAGGGCCACAGAGAAGAGAAAGCAAGGGUAAAGGCAUAUAUAAUAGUUAGAGUAGUGGACAUGAUGUGUACAAAAAUUAUGUAUAGAGAUGAUGUAAAGGUUAUGUAAUGUAUAUUGAGUAUAGUAUUGUGCUUGGCCCUAAUGUACGUUUUAUCCCUUUGUACAUGAUCAUUAUUAUGUUUUAUGUUUUAUGUCUUAUGAUGAUGAGAAC
rnacentral:lncRNA from 1 species